rnacentral:rRNA from 1 species
UAAAAGUCGUAACAAGGUUUCCGUAGGUGAACCUGCGGAAGGAUCAUUAAAGAGUAAGGGUGCUCAGCGCCCGACCUCCAACCCUUUGUUGUUAAAACUACCUUGUUGCUUUGGCGGGACCGCUCGGUCUCGAGCCGCUGGGGAUUCGUCCCAGGCGAGCGCCCGCCAGAGUUAAACCAAACUCUUGUUAUUAAACCGGUCGUCUGAGUUAAAAUUUUGAAUAAAUCAAAACUUUCAACAACGGAUCUCUUGGUUCUCGCAUCGAUGAAGAACGCAGCGAAAUGCGAUAAGUAAUGUGAAUUGCAGAAUUCAGUGAAUCAUCGAAUCUUUGAACGCACAUUGCGCCCCUUGGUAUUCCGAGGGGCAUGCCUGUUCGAGCGUCAUUACACCACUCAAGCUAUGCUUGGUAUUGGGUGCCGUCCUUAGUUGGGCGCGCCUUAAAGACCUCGGCGAGGCCUCACCGGCUUUAGGCGUAGUAGAAUUUAUUCGAACGUCUGUCAAAGGAGAGGACUUCUGCCGACUGAAACCUUUAUUUUUCUAGGUUGACCUCGGAUCAGGUAGGGAUACCCGCUGAACUUAAGCAUAUCAA